AUGAAAGCUUCAAGUGCACUUAGCAUUCACUAUAUUUAUUAAUAACUCUACGAGUUUUGCCUUUAAGCAGAUUUUAGUGAGACUAGACAUAUUAUUAUCGCUCCCAAACAUAACUAUGUUACUCCAGGAUACAAAGAGCUCAACUGUUAAAUGAAAGCUUCAAGUGCACUUGACAUAGUAAAUAUCCAUUGAAAUUCUAUGCGACGAUGCAAAUCUUGUAGUUGCAGAAGCCGAAGACCACACCAUCGCACCAAUAUUGCGUGACUUUAUAAUACCAACGAUGUUGGCAAUGGUACACGCAUUCGGACUUUAUACAUAAUGUGAUCCUGUCGCGCUUAAUCUCAUAGUUCUCUGUGCAUCUCAAAUAUACAUAGUGAGACAUCAAUUAUAACAACAUACCAUGUCAAACUACUGCAUAAUUGGUAACAUGUAUUAUUCUUCCACGGCAUAGAAACAAUGUGCGUCAACAUCAUAUUUAAGAAAACUUCUAGUAAUCCCAUAAGAAACCUACUUCAGAAGAACAAAAGCUAGAACAUACCUCCAGUCAUACUGCUUCCUGACAACACAAGCAUCACCAUAAAACAAGCAGUGGCGGGCCGUUUGUCCAUCCUUGAAUUCCACACCUGACGAUGCCCA
rnacentral:lncRNA from 1 species